UGGGGAAUAUUGCACAAUGGGCGAAAGCCUGAUGCAGCCAUGCCGCGUGUGUGAAGAAGGCUCUAGGGUUGUAAAGCACUUUCAGUGGGGAGGAAAAGUUUAAGAUUAAUACUCUUGAACCUUGACGUUACCUGCAGAAGAAGCACCGGCAAACUCCGUGCCAGCAGCCGCGGUAAUACGGAGGGUGCGAGCGUUAAUCGGAAUUACUGGGCGUAAAGCGCGCGUAGGUGGUUUGAUAAGCUAGCUGUGAAAGCCCCGGGCUCAACCUGGGAACUGCAGUUAGAACUGUCUGGCUAGAGUAUAGUAGAGGGUGGCGGAAUUUCCUGUGUAGCGGUGAAAUGCGUAGAUAUAGGAAGGAACAUCAGUGGCGAAGGCGGCCACCUGGACUAAUACUGACACUGAGGUGCGAAAGCGUGGGGAGCAAACAGG
rnacentral:rRNA from 1 species